GAUGAACGCUGGCGGCGUGCCUAAUACAUGCAAGUCGAGCGGACAGACGCUGAUCUUGCUCCGCUGUCGUUUGCGGCGGACGGGUGAGUCACACGUGUAUCACCUCCCUGUCAGACUGGUAUAACUUGGUGAAUCGGGAGCAAAUACCAUAUGAUAUAUUGCACCGCGUGGGUGGAUGGUGAAUUACGGUUGUGCUGUCUCUUAUCGCUGGUUCCGCGCCGCAUUAGCUAGUUGGUAAGUUUACGGCUUUCCAAGGCAACUAUGCGUAGCCGGCCGGCGGGGCUGAUAGGCCACACGGGAGCUGGACCACGCACCAGACUACUACGGGAGGGCGCAGUCGGGAAUGUUCCGCAGUGGGCGAAAGCAUGACGGAGCAACGCCGAGUGAGUGAUGAAGGUCUUCGGAUCGUAAAACUCUGUUAUUAGGGAAGAACAAAUGUGUAAGUAACUAUGCACGUCUUGACGGUACCUAAUCAGAAAGCCACGGCUAACUACGUG
rnacentral:rRNA from 1 species